rnacentral:rRNA from 1 species
AUAUUGCACAAUGGGCGAAAGCCUGAUGCAGCAACGCCGCGGGAGUGAUGAAGGCCUUCGGGUCGUAAAACUCUGUCCUCAAGGACGAUAAGGACGGUACUGGAGGAGGAAGCCCCGGCUAACUACGUGCCAGCAGCCGCGGUAAUACGUAGGGGGCGAGCGUUAUCCGGAUUUACUGGGCGUAAAGGGUGCGUAGGCGGUCUUUCAAGUCAGGAGUGAAAGGCUACGGCGCAACCGUAGUAAGCUCUUGAAACUGGGAGACUGUAGGGCAGGAGAGGAGAGUGGAAUUCAUAGUGUAGCGCUGAAAUGCGUAGAUAUUAGGAGGAACACCAGUUGCGAAGACGGCACUGUGGGCUGCAACUGACGCUGAGGCACUAAAGGGUCGGGCGCAAACAGGAUUAGUUACGCUGGUCGUCCCCGCGGUAAACGAUGAGUACUAGGUGUGGGGGGAUA